rnacentral:tRNA from 1 species
GGGGCUGUAGUCUAGCCUGGUAGGACUCGUGCUUUGGGAGCACGAAACCUGAGUUCAAAUCUCAGCAGCCCCA